rnacentral:rRNA from 1 species
GACGAACGCUGGCGGCGUGCCUAAUACAUGCAAGUCGAGCGGACCGGAUUGGGGCUUGCCUUGAUUCGGUCAGCGGCGGACGGGUGAGUAACACGUGGGCAACCUGCCCGCAAGACCGGGAUAACUCCGGGAAACCGGAGCUAAUACCGGAUAACACCGAAGACCGCAUGGUCUUCGGUUGAAAGGCGGCCUUUGGGCUGUCACUUGCGGAUGGGCCCGCGGCGCAUUAGCUAGUUGGUGAGGUAACGGCUCACCAAGGCGACGAUGCGUAGCCGGCCGGAGAGGGGGAACGGCCAAACUGGGAAUGAGAAAAGGCCCAGACUCCUACGGGAGGGAGCAGGAGGGAAUCUUCCGCAAUGGGCGAAAGCCUGACGGAGCGACGCCGCGUGAGCGAAGAAGGCCGUCGGGUCGUAAAGCUCUGUUGUGAGGGACGAAGGAGCGUCGUUCGAAGAGGGCGGCGCGGUGACGGUACCUCACGAGAAAGCCCCGGCUAACUACGUG